UACAGAGGGUGCGAGCGUUUAAUCGGAAUUACUGGGCGUAAAGCGCACGUAGUCGGCUUUGCAAGUCGGUUGUGAAAUCCCCGGGCUCAACCUGGGAACUGCAUCCGAGACUGCAUUGCUAGAGUAUGGGAGAGGAAAGCGGAAUUUCUGGUGUAGCAGUGAAAUGCGUAGAUAUCAGAAGGAACAUCAGUGGCGAAGGCGGCUUUCUGGACCAAUACUGACGAUCG
rnacentral:rRNA from 1 species